GACAGAGGUGCCAAGCGUUAGGCGGAAUCACUGGGCUUAAAGGGCGCGUAGGCGGAUUCUCAAGUCCGGGGUGAAAUCCCACAGCUCAACUGUGGAACUGCCUCGGAUACUGGGAGUCUCGAGGGUGGUAGGGGUAUGCGGAACUAUCGGUGGAGCGGUGAAAUGCGUUGAUAUCGAUAGGAACUCCGGUGGCGAAGGCGGCAUACUGGACCACAACUGACGCUGAGGCGCGAAAGCCAGGGGAGCGAACGGG
rnacentral:rRNA from 1 species